AUCGAACGCUGGCGGCAGGCUUAACACAUGCAAGUCGAGCGAGCGGCGGACGGGUGAGUAAUGUCUGGGAAACUGCCUGACGGAGGGGGAUAACUACUGGAAACGGUAGCUAAUACCGCAUACCAUGAGCUGUGCCCAGAUGGGAUUAGCUACCAGGUGGGGUAAUGGCUCACCUAGGCGACGAUCCCUAGCUGGCCUGAGAGGAUGACCGGCCACACUGGAACUGAGACACGGUCCAGACUCCUACGGGAGGCAGCAGUGGGGAAUAUUGCACAAUGGGCGAAAGCCUGAUGCAGCCAUGCCGCGUGUGUGAAGAAGGCCUUCGGGUUGUAAAGCACUGUCAGCGAGGAGGCGUUACUCGCAGAAGAAGCACCGGCUAACUCCGUGCCAGCAGCCGCGGUAAUUC
rnacentral:rRNA from 1 species